GACGAACGCUGGCGGCGUGCUUAACACAUGCAAGUCGAACGGUAAGGCCCUGCUUUUUUGUUGUUCUCGGGUGGCUGACGGGUGAGUAACACGUGAGUAACCUGCCCUUUACUUUGGGAUAACUUCAGGAAACUGGGGCUAAUACCGGAUAGUAGCUCCUGCUGCAUGGUGGGGGUUGGAAAGGUUCGUCUGUUGGUGAUGGACGCGCGGCUUAUCUGCUUGUUGGUGGGGUAGUGGCUUACCAAGGCUUUGACGGGUAGCCGGCCUGAGAGGGUGACCGGCGACAUUGGGACUAAGAGACGGCCCAGACUCCAACGGGAGGCAGCAGUGGGGAAUAUUGCACAAUGGGCGGAAGUCUGAUGCAGAAACGCCGCGUGCGGGAUGACGGCCUUCGGGUUGUAAACCGAUUUCGCCUGUGACGAAGCGUGAGUGACGGUAAUGGGUAAAGAAGCACCGGCUAACUACGUG
rnacentral:rRNA from 1 species